AUAAGUAAAGAUAAUAAGGGCGUACGGUGGAUGCCUUGGCGAUAUCAGCCGAAGAAGGACGCGGUAAGCUGCGAUAAGCUACGGAGAGGUGCAAGCAACCUGUGACCCGUAGAUUUCCGAAUGGGGGAAC
rnacentral:rRNA from 1 species